AUUCAACGCUGGCGGCAUGCCUUACACAUGCAAGUCGAACGGCUGCACGGGUGCUUGCCCCUGCUGGCGAGUGGCGGACGGGUGAGUACUUCAUUGGAACAUGUACUGUAGUGGGGUAUAGCUCGGCGAAAGCCGGAUUAUUACCGCAUACGAUCUACGGAUGAAAGCUGCGGACCUUCGGGCCUCGCGCUCUAGGUUUGGCCGAUGGCUGCUUAGCUAGUUGGUGGGGUAAAGGCUUCCCAAGGCGACGAUCAGUAGCUGGUCUGAGAGGACGACCAGCCACACUGGGACUGAGACACGGCCCAGACUCCUACGGGAGGCAGCAGUGGGGAAUUUUGGACAAUGGGCGAAAGCCUGAUCCAGCAAUGCCGCGUGUGUGAAGAAGGCCUUCGGGUUGUAAAGCACUUUUGUCCGGAAAGAAAUCCUUGGCCCUAAUACGGUCGGGGGAUGACGGUACCGGAAGAAUAAGCACCGGCUAACUACGUG
rnacentral:rRNA from 1 species